rnacentral:lncRNA from 1 species
CUCAAUGUUUGCUGAACAGAAGAAUAUCAUUUGCUUCUCUUUUUGCUUAUAUCCAGUUCUCUCAUAUUCUAUACCUCUAUCCCAAUGCUAAUCUUUCCUUACCUUUAACUUUAGCAAAGCAGCUUUUUUUCAAUGCCUAUCAGCUGACAAUUCUAAAGAUUCAACCUAUAAAGCCUAAGAGAUAGGCACAGAGGAAAGAUAAGCACCCCAACCCCCACAGCCAGAGCAUGGUACCUUCUACACCAACCACAGGUGAGUGAAUUGGAUGAAGAAGGGAGAAAAGAGAGAAGUAGAUUCCUGAAGGGAGAUAAAUAUAAUGCAGACCCUGGGGAUUAGAAACAAGGGAAAGUGAGAAAGGAAGAAGAAUAUCUGGAGGGGAAGAUCUGAAAUGAAAGCAGGGAAGAGUGUAGGAAUUUUAAUAUGCUAAAAUUCUGAAAAUAAAAUCAUCCUUAAGUUAUACUUUUUAGGAAUCUUCCUUGUAAAAGAAGUGGGGUAGAAAGGAGAAGCCUGUUAAUAUUCUUUAUGUACAUUAUCUCCUUAGUCCUUGUACUCACCCUAUUUGACAGGAAUUUGAGCCAUAUUUUACACAAGACAGGGAAGCUCAGAAAGGUGGAGCACCUUGCUCAAGGUCACACACUUUGCUUCAUUAGAAGUACAGGAUGACUGUUCCACUGGUAGAAUGUCCUUCUUUUGGGAUUCUGGAAUCCUUAAAGAUCCUAUUUCUUUGGGAUGUAGGGGAGAAAUGUGUUAUCUAAUAACUGAGAACAAAAGUAACUUAGCAUCCUGUUGGUUGUUAAAUGCUGCACCGUAAAGAGUGGUUCCUUGCUUUUUUAUGAAAAAAAAUUCCUACUUACUCUCAUCAGAAGAAAAGUGAGUUGAACUGACUUUGCUUGGCUGUUGGUUUGUCUUUCCUAUGAUUGGCAGGUGUCCCAGAGUACUGUGUAUAUAGGCCCAGCAAGAAAGUUGCUAAGUCCUUGUUGCUGCAAUAUUUUCCAUCAAGGUCUGGGCCAGGCAGACAAAAUUGUGCUUAUGGACUUCAGCAAACUCAGCACAAGGAAGGCCAGUGGGCAUGCUGAAGAACUGCCUCUCCAACAUCUUGUCCUCUCCUACAGACUCAGUGACACCAAUAAGUAGAUUCUUGAAGUCCUGUGCAUUUGACAUCUAAAUAACUUGGUCUCACUCUCUGGUUUUCUGUAUCUAAAUUUCCCCUCCCUUUGGGGCAUGAGAUUUAAAAGAAGGCUCUUGAGCAGAGCAAGCAACAGUCUCGUCUUUGAUUUAUGCUAUUACUGGAACUGUAGUCCUUGAAAGCAAUUCUGUCACUACUGUAAUGAGGACGGAGCUUCCGUUAACUAAUAA